AAAUCAACCGAGAUUCCCCCAGUAGCGGCGAGCGAACGGGGAGCAGCCCAGAGUCUGAAUCAGCUUGUGUGUUAGUGGAACGGUCUGGAAAGUCCGACGGUACAGGGUGAUAGUCCCGUACACCAAAAUGCACAGGUUGUGAACUCGAAGAGUAGGGCGGGACACGUGGUAUCCUGUCUGAAUAUGGGGGGACCAUCCUCCAAGGCUAAAUACUCCUGACUGACCGAUAGUGAACCAGUACCGUGAGGGAAAGGCGAAAAGAACCCCGGCGAG
rnacentral:rRNA from 1 species